AUCAGUGGCGCCAAGUCCAACAUCUGGCUCAAACCUUUUGGAACAAAUGGAAGAAGCAAUAUCUUUCGUCACUCCAGCCACGAAGGAAGUGGCAGUCUUCCCAGCCUGACCUUCAGCGUGGAAGCAUCGUGCUUCUCAAGGACGACCAACUAAAGAGGAAUGAAUGGCCUCUGGGACUUAUCACUCAAGUCUUCCCUAGCAAAGACAGCAGGGUACGCAAGGUGGAGAUCAAAGUCUCCAGGAAAGAUGGAAUUAAGACGUUAUUGAGGCCUAUCACCGAGAUAGUCCUGCUCUUAGCUCCUGAGACUAAGCCAUAGUGAAUGCCAAGGACUGUUAAGUAGUGGCGGUUUAUUCCCGCCAGGCGGGGAGUGUGCUGUCACCAUAGUUUUUGUUCAGUAGUUCUCGGGGUAAGUUUCAUAGUGCCACCACUAGGGGGCAGUGGUCUCUUUAAGAGACACAGUGGUCGGCUACAGGCAGCCAUGUGAGAGAUCUGCGGGAGGCACAUUACUGAGAGAACAUGCUGUCUGUUUACACCAGGAAAUAACUGUCUACAUCUAAUGCUAUACGAAGCAUCGUUGUUUCACCCUUUUUCGACUCAAUAAACCUGUGGAUAAAUUCA